AGAGUUUGCUCCUGGCUCAGAACGAACGCUGGCGGCGUGCCUAAUCCAUGCAAGUCGAACGAGAAGCCCACCUUCGGGUGGGUGGAGAGUGGCGAAUUGGUGAGUAACACGUGGGUAAUCUACCCUGGAGUAGGGGACAACCCUUCUAACGAGGGGCCAAUACCGCAUACGAUCGGAGUGUCGCAUGACGUUCCGAUGAAAGAGGGGGUCUUCGGACCUCUCGCUCCAGGAUGUGCCCGCGCCCCAUUAGCUAGUUGGUGAGGUAACGGCUCACCAAGGCUUCGAUGGGUAGCCGGCCUGAGAGGGUGAACGGCCACACUGGGACUGAGAUACAGCCCAGACUCCUACGGGAGGCAGCAGGAGGGAAUAUUGUACACUGCGCGAAAGUGCGAUACAGCGACGCCGCGUGAGGGAAGACGCUCCUCGGAGUGUAAACCUCAAACGGGCAGGGACGAACGUCGUUCGGUUAAUACCCGGACGAUCUGACUGUACCUGUUACGAAGCUCCGGCUAACUCCGUGCCAGCAGCCGCGGUAAUACGGGGGGAGCAAGCGUUGUUCGGAAUUACUGGGCGUAAAGGGCGUCUAGGUGGACUGUCAAGUCAGAGGUGAAAUCUCCCGGCUCAACCGGGAGCCUGCCUUUGAAACUGACAGUCUUGAGUGCGGGAGAGGUAUGGGGAAUUCCCAGUGUAGCGGUGAAAUGCGUAGAUAUUGGGAGGAAUGCCGGUGGCGAAGGCGCCAUACUGGCCUAGCACUGACACUGAAGCGCGAAAGCGUGGGGAGCGAACAGGAUUAGAUACCCUGGUAGUCCACGCCGUAAACGAUGGGCACUAGGUGUGGGAGGUAUUUGACCCCUCUCGUGCCGAAGCUAACGCAUUAAGUGCCCCGCCUGGGGAGUACGGUCGCAAGGCUGAAACUCAAAGGAAUUGACGGGUCUCCGCACAAGCGGUGGAGCAUGAUGCUUAAUUCGACGAUACGCGAAAAACCUUACCUGGGCUUGACAUGCCCCUGACGCUCUAGAGAUAGGGCUUUCCUUCGGGACGGGGGACACAGGUGCUGCAUGGCUGUCGUCAGCUCGUGUCGUGAGAUGUUGGAUUAAGUCCCGCAACGAGCGCAACCCCUACCACUAGUUGCCAUCUGGUAAUGCUGGGCACUCUAGUGGGACUGCCGGCGAUAAGUCGGAGGAAGGUGGGGAUGACGUCAAGUCCUCAUGGUCCUUACGCCCAGGGCUGCAAUCGUGCUACAAUGGUCGGUACAGAGGGUUGCUAAGCCGCGAGGUGGAGCUAAUCCCAAAAAGCCGAUCUCAGUUCGGAUUGGAGUCUGCAACUCGACUCCAUGAAGUUGGAAUCGCUAGUAAUCGCGGAUCAGAAUGCCGCGGUGAAUACGUUCCCGGGGAUUGUACACACCGCCCGUCAAGCGAUGAAAGCCGGGGGUACCCGACGUCGUUGCCCUAACUUCGGAGGGGCGCGCCUAAGGUAAACUCGGUGAUUGGCGCUAAGUCGGAACAAGGCA
rnacentral:rRNA from 1 species